rfam:Oryza meridionalis cultivar OR44 (W2112) chromosome 4, whole genome shotgun sequence.
AUCCAAAAAAAAACUGGGUUUCCGUGUCUAAUUUUUGACCAUCUGUUUUAUUUUAAAAAAAUUAAAAAAAAUAUAUAAGCCAUACAUAAAGUGUUAUUCAUAUUUUAUCAUCUAUCAAUAAUGAAAAUACUAAUAAUAAAAAAAUUUCAUAUAAGAUGGAUGGUUAAACGUUGGACACGGAAACCCAAGAAUUGAGUCUUU